rnacentral:lncRNA from 1 species
GCUUAUUCAUGUGUGAUGUUGGCAUGUUAUGGAAAGAAGCUAGCUGCAGCUUCCUCUUCUCUCUCUUUCAUGUUGGUGACAGACUGGUAUUUACCUUUUCUUUCUUUUUUUUUUUGUUGGCUGAGUUAUUUUAUUGCUGAAGUUUGAAGUUGCAAGUAAAUAUUCUGAAUUCAAUAAAAAACAAACACUACAAACCAUUUUCCCCAUUUACAAGUAACAGCCGACGAACAGAAAUGAAAGAUACAACUCCGAAGUUUUACUUUUCUUUAUUAUUAUGGCCUGUAGAAAACUCAGCUAGCUAUCUGCCUAUGAACAGACUGAAAAAUUGAGAAAAAAAAAUAAAAAAAUAAAAAUAAAAAAGGUACAAAGCUAGAGCUAUAGUUUCUUUAUAUAUUUUUCUAUUCAACUGAUCUUUCCCCUCCAUGUAUCUUUCUCAGCUCCUCCCACUUUAUUCUGAUUCAUCUAAUAAUUAAUAAGCAAUAUCAAUAUAUUUAUAUAUAUAUAAUAAAAAAAAGUAAAAAUUAAUCCCACUAUAAACUACAACCCACGUGUAAGUACUCUCCAACCUAACUUCAUGCAUAUUAAAAUCUUGGCCAGCAUCUUAAUUCAUCAAGUUCGAACACACCCUCCUGAAAAAUUUAAAAAUUAAAAUAAACAUUACCCCUCGUCUUUUAACCGCAAUGAAAAAUUUUCACAGAAAUGAAUUCACAGUUUUGUGAUUUGUAACGUCUUUGUCUCAUCUUCACUCACUCGGCAUUCCCCAUUGGAGCAGCUGCUGCUGCAGCUUUGUUUGGUACAAUCUCAUAACCUUCAUUGCCUUCUUCUUCUUCUUCGUCACCCUCUUCACUGUUUCCUUCUUCUUCUUCUUCUUCUUCUUCUUCUUCGUCAUCUUCUUGAAUUUGAUUCACAUUCAAUGGCGGCUGGUUUUGUCCCUGCAGAUGAUCAUUAUUGUGUAGUGGCCAUUGCUGCUCCGGUAACACCAUCAACGGCGCCGUGUUAUGAUUCACAGCCUUCACAUUUCCAUAACAACCUGAAUUAUUUUCACUACUCUUAUUGCUUUUCUCUCUAUACAAAGCAUCAAGUUGAUCAAAAUACGGACACGUCUUCGAAUCAUCAGGCCUUUUCUUGUUGCUCUCUUUAACUUUCUUGAAAUACUUGUUAAUAUUCUCCCAUUUCUCUUUACACCUCUUAGCGUUCCGAUUGUAUCCAACGCUCCGCAUUGCCGCUGCGAUCUCUUCCCAUAGAGGCCCUUUCGGUCCAUUUUCUUGAUACUUAUUUGCCAGCUCGGUUCUAAAUUUGAUCAAAGCUUGAACUUCAGCUUUUGGCCAUCUUGAAGAGCUUGUUGACAUAACAACAUUUCCACCAUAAUUAUUAUUAUUAGCCGCCGGCUUAUUAUUUGGAGUAGUCGUAGCCGGUGGCUGAGGCUGAGGUGGAACUGCUGGUACGGGCUGUACUACUACUGUUGGCGGUGGCGGUUGGGGAUUUUCUUUAACGGGGAUUUGUUGCUGGCCUGAAAUAUUUUGCAAGAAUGCGAUGACGGCAGCGUCCUUGGCAGCUGCUGUGGCUCGUUCUUGGAUUAGAAUCUCAUGUUCUCUAUCGAUUCUAGCCAUUUCUUGAACCCUCCAAGCUUCGUCACGAACAAUUCUUUCGCGUUCGCGUCUCUCCAUUUCCUCCAAGAAUCUAUAUUGCAGCUCCUCUUGUUUCUUGAUCACCUGCUUCGUCAACCUCUUGAAAAACAUCUUCCACUUUCUCUUCCUCGUACCAGCUGGCCGCUCUUCAGAAUAUUCCUCUGACGCAGUUGAAGAUGAUGUUGAACUCGAGAAAAGAUUCGGCGACACAUUUGCAAACGAAUACGGUAAGUUAUUCACAGGCUGGGCUAAUGGCGGCGCUGCUGCUGCUGCAGAAACCGUAGGGUUUGUGGGAGGGGCAAUGACAGUGCUCUGAGGCACGGCUUGUAUAGGGUUUGCGGCUGAUAUCGAUGUAACAACAUUCUUGAUAUGAGCCGGGACUGAACUCGGAGGAUUCAUAGUCCAAGGAAUUGCUUGCAUUAACGGAGCUGGAGGCUUUGUUGUUGCUUGAGGAGCGGUUGAAUGAUGAUGAUGAUCAAGGGCUUCUAAUUGAUCAAAAAACUUGUAAUGCUUGCCUUCUGGCUUUCCCGUGCGGCCAUCUUUUGUUCUCCUGUGGUAUUUGUAGACGUUCUCGAAUUUCUCUUUGCAUUUCUUGGCACUUCGAUUAUAACCAAGCUCAGCUAGUUUCCUGAUAAUAACAGUUCAGCAACAGCUUUUUACUUCCUCAUCCCAUGUUAAUUAAUAACUAUGUUUAAUUACCAGCAUUUUCACGCAUAAAAUAAACAUGAAAUUUGAUCGUUUCGAUAAUUAAUCCAAGAAAAGAUAAAAUUUAAUACUAAUUUUUAAUUUUUUGAUUAAAAAAAAAAGGAAAAGGAAAAGAGAUGACCUAAUCGUCAGUGACCUCAUGUUAAUUUCUGAAAUCGGCAAAUCAACUAGAGUUUAAUUCUAACAGUAACAUGAAAAUUUUGAAACGCUAGAUUAAUGAAACCUAUAUCACAGAAGAGAAUUGCAUUUGAAACCAUUUAGUACCAAGAGAAUUGUAAAUUUUGAUUAUAUAUAUAUAUAUAUAUAUAUAUAUAUAUAUUAAUUGCUUAUUCAUGUGUGAUGUUGGCAUGUUAUGGAAAGAAGCUAGCUGCAGCUUCCUCUUCUCUCUCUUUCAUGUUGGUGACAGACUGGUAUUUACCUUUUCUUUCUUUUUUUUUUUGUUGGCUGAGUUAUUUUAUUGCUGAAGUUUGAAGUUGCAAGUAAAUAUUCUGAAUUCAAUAAAAAACAAACACUACAAACCAUUUUCCCCAUUUACAAGUAACAGCCGACGAACAGAAAUGAAAGAUACAACUCCGAAGUUUUACUUUUCUUUAUUAUUAUGGCCUGUAGAAAACUCAGCUAGCUAUCUGCCUAUGAACAGACUGAAAAAUUGAGAAAAAAAAAUAAAAAAAUAAAAAUAAAAAAGGUACAAAGCUAGAGCUAUAGUUUCUUUAUAUAUUUUUCUAUUCAACUGAUCUUUCCCCUCCAUGUAUCUUUCUCAGCUCCUCCCACUUUAUUCUGAUUCAUCUAAUAAUUAAUAAGCAAUAUCAAUAUAUUUAUAUAUAUAUAAUAAAAAAAAGUAAAAAUUAAUCCCACUAUAAACUACAACCCACGUGUAAGUACUCUCCAACCUAACUUCAUGCAUAUUAAAAUCUUGGCCAGCAUCUUAAUUCAUCAAGUUCGAACACACCCUCCUGAAAAAUUUAAAAAUUAAAAUAAACAUUACCCCUCGUCUUUUAACCGCAAUGAAAAAUUUUCACAGAAAUGAAUUCACAGUUUUGUGAUUUGUAACGUCUUUGUCUCAUCUUCACUCACUCGGCAUUCCCCAUUGGAGCAGCUGCUGCUGCAGCUUUGUUUGGUACAAUCUCAUAACCUUCAUUGCCUUCUUCUUCUUCUUCGUCACCCUCUUCACUGUUUCCUUCUUCUUCUUCUUCUUCUUCUUCUUCUUCGUCAUCUUCUUGAAUUUGAUUCACAUUCAAUGGCGGCUGGUUUUGUCCCUGCAGAUGAUCAUUAUUGUGUAGUGGCCAUUGCUGCUCCGGUAACACCAUCAACGGCGCCGUGUUAUGAUUCACAGCCUUCACAUUUCCAUAACAACCUGAAUUAUUUUCACUACUCUUAUUGCUUUUCUCUCUAUACAAAGCAUCAAGUUGAUCAAAAUACGGACACGUCUUCGAAUCAUCAGGCCUUUUCUUGUUGCUCUCUUUAACUUUCUUGAAAUACUUGUUAAUAUUCUCCCAUUUCUCUUUACACCUCUUAGCGUUCCGAUUGUAUCCAACGCUCCGCAUUGCCGCUGCGAUCUCUUCCCAUAGAGGCCCUUUCGGUCCAUUUUCUUGAUACUUAUUUGCCAGCUCGGUUCUAAAUUUGAUCAAAGCUUGAACUUCAGCUUUUGGCCAUCUUGAAGAGCUUGUUGACAUAACAACAUUUCCACCAUAAUUAUUAUUAUUAGCCGCCGGCUUAUUAUUUGGAGUAGUCGUAGCCGGUGGCUGAGGCUGAGGUGGAACUGCUGGUACGGGCUGUACUACUACUGUUGGCGGUGGCGGUUGGGGAUUUUCUUUAACGGGGAUUUGUUGCUGGCCUGAAAUAUUUUGCAAGAAUGCGAUGACGGCAGCGUCCUUGGCAGCUGCUGUGGCUCGUUCUUGGAUUAGAAUCUCAUGUUCUCUAUCGAUUCU